UUGCAAUCUACAUGUUGUUUUAGAAAGAUCCAUAAAUUAUCUACUUCAUCCCCUUUAUUUUACAGGGGGAGCUAAUAAAACCGAGGUUAGAACACACAAUGUGGAAAUGAAAACCUUAUUCUUGUCAAUGGAUGGAGGGUGGUGACCCCCACCUUUACAAGUGUCUGUAAUUCUCACUAGCAGUAUAUUAGAGGGCAAAAGAUUUGAACAGACACAUCAGAAAAGAAGACAUACAAAUGGCCGCUAAGCACUUGAAAGGAUUCUGAACACCAUUAGUCAUCAGUGAAAUGCAAAUUAAAGCCAUAAUGAAUGGCGCUAUACAUUUUCAGAAUGGCAAGGAUUGAAGACCGAAAAAAAUCAAGCGUUGAGGAGAGUGACAAAUGGGGAGACAGCCGUGGUGCAUGAUCGCCGAAUAAAUACCAUGUGAGGAUACAGCAAGAAGGUGGCCAUCUACAAGCCAAGGAGACAGGCCUCAGAAGAAACCAACCCUUCUUACACCCUGGACUCAGACUUCUAAUCUCCAGAACUUGUUAAUGCACAAGGUCUUGUGUUGAAAAUGUAGAGCCACGAGAUAAAAGCAGCUUGGAUGGCUGACUCAUAUACAAGGACAACUGCCUGAGAGUCACCAGGGCUAUCAAGAAGUUUGCAGAAACAAGAAAUAAA
rnacentral:lncRNA from 10 species